rnacentral:RNase_P_RNA from 1 species
AACGACAACCGUUCUGUCGCUGCUCCUUUUUAGGAGAAGAGGAAAGUCCGGGCAACAUAGAGUACCAUGCUUCCUAACGGGAAGGAGCUUUAGCGAUAAAGUUACAGAAAGUGCCACAGAAAAGAUACCGCUCUGCAAAGAGUAAGGGUGAAAACGCGAGGUAAGAGCUUCACGAUAUCCGUAGUGAUACGCGAUAUAGGUAAACCUCAUGGGUUGAAAAGCCAAAUAAACCGAGGCUUGAGGGCUACUCGCCCAACUCGGAGGGUAGGCUGAUUGAGUUUUAUGGCGACAUAAAAUCUAGAUAAAUGACAGAAUAUGACAGAACCCGGCUUAUAGGUUGCCGUUUUUU